rnacentral:rRNA from 1 species
GAUGAACGCUGGCGGCGUGCCUAAUACAUGCAAGUCGAGCGAACGGACGAGAAGCUUGCUUCUCUGAUGUUAGCGGCGGACGGGUGAGUAACACGUGGAUAACCUACCUAUAAGACUGGGAUAACUUCGGGAAACCGGAGCUAAUACCGGAUAAUAUUUUGAACCGCAUGGUUCAAAAGUGAAAGACGGUCUUGCUGUCACUUAUAGAUGGAUCCGCGCUGCAUUAGCUAGUUGGUAAGGUAACGGCUUACCAAGGCAACGAUGCAUAGCCGACCUGAGAGGGUGAUCGGCCACACUGGAACUGAGACACGGUCAAGACUCCUACGGGAGGCAGCAGUAGGGAAUCUUCCGCAAUGGGCGAAAGCCUGACGGAGCAACGCCGCGUGAGUGAUGAAGGUCUUCGGAUCGUAAAACCCUGUUAUUAGGGAAGAACAUAUGUGUAAGUAACUGUGCACAUCUUGACGGUACCUAAUCAGAAAGCCACGGCUAACUACGUG